CCCAGAUAAUGACACUCUCAGACAAGAGUCCAAGUUGUUUGAAAGGCUAUUUCUUGGCC
rnacentral:pre_miRNA from 1 species